rnacentral:rRNA from 1 species
AAUCAAUGCUGGCGGCGUGCCUAACACAUGCAAGUCGAACGCGAAAGCCCCGCAAGGGGUAAGUAGAGUGGCAAACGGGUGAGUAACACGUGGGUGACCUGCCUUCGAGUGGGGGAUAACGUCCCGAAAGGGACGCUAAUACCGCAUGACAUCCUGCUUUUGAAAAAGCGGAGAUCAAAGCUGGGGAUCGCAAGACCUAGCGCUUGAAGAGGGGCCCGCGCCUGAUUAGCUAGUUGGUGAGGUAACGGCUCACCAAGGCGACGAUCAGUAUCCGGCCUGAGAGGGCGGACGGACACACUGGGACUGAGACACGGCCCAGACUCCUACGGGAGGCAGCAGUGGGGAAUUGUUCGCAAUGGGCGCAAGCCUGACGACGCAACGCCGCGUGGAGGACGAAGAUCUUCGGGUCGUAAACUCCUGUCGAGCGGGACGAACGCUUCGCGGAUGAAUAAUCCGCGGAAUUGACGGUACCGCUAAAGGAAGCCCCGGCUAACUCCGUG